UUGUCCUAGUUACCAGCACGUUAUGGUGGGGCACUCUAAGGAGACUGCCGGUGACAAACCGGAGGAAGGUGGGGAUGACGUCAAGUCAUCAUGGCCCUUACGGCCUGGGCUACACACGUGCUACAAUGGUCGGUACAAAGGGUUGCCAAGCCGCGAGGUGGAGCUAAUCCCAUAAAACCGAUCGUAGUCCGGAUCGCAGUCUGCAACUCGACUGCGUGAAGUCGGAAUCGCUAGUAAUCGUGAAUCAGAAUGUCACGGUGAAUACGUUCCCGGGCCUU
rnacentral:rRNA from 1 species